rfam:Picea glauca, whole genome shotgun sequence.
GGGUGUGAUCAUACCAGUGUUAAUGCACCGGAUCCCAUCGAAACUCCGCAGUUAAGUAGGAUAGGGAUAGAGUAGUACUGGGAUGGGUGACCUCCCGGGAAGUUCUAGUGUUGCACCCU